UGCAAAGAGGUGUUGUGGCACAUAGAGUUUUGGGUUCUAAGGUAAUAGUUUGGUCUAUUUUUGCAU
rnacentral:tRNA from 1 species